UCCCUGGUGGUCCAGUGGUUAAGACUCUGCACUCCUAAUUCAGGGAGCAUGGGUUUGGUCCCUGAUCAGGGAA
rnacentral:tRNA from 1 species